rnacentral:SRP_RNA from 1 species
GCCGGGCAUGGUGGCUCAUGCCUGUAAUCCUAGCACUUUGGGAGGCUGAGGCGGGUGGAUCACUUGAGGUCAGGAGUUUGAGACCAGCCUGGCCAACAUGGUGAGACCCUGUCUCUA